GAUGAACGCUGGCGGCGUGCCUCAAACAUGCAAGUCGAGCGGGGCUAUGUAAUAUCGCAAGGUAGAACAUAGCCUAGCGGCGAACGGGUGAGUAACACGUGGGUAACCUGCCUGGAAGACAGGGAUAACGAUUCGAAAGGGUCGCUAAUACCUGAUAAUAUCCUUUCAUCGCAUGGUGAUAGGAAGAAAGGGGAAACCCGCUUUCAGAUGGGCCCGCGUCCCAUCAGCUAGUUGGUAAGGUAAAGGCUUACCAAGGCGACGACGGGUAGCCGGUCUGAGAGGAUGUACGGCCACACUGGGACUGAGAUACGGCCCAGACUCCUACGGGAGGCAGCAGUUGGGAAUCUUAGGCAAUGGACGAAAGUCUGACCUAGCGACGCCGCGUGAGGGAAGAAGGCCUCGGUGUAACUCUGUCAUGGGAGAAGGAAGUGACGGUACCCGAACGAGGAAGGCCCUCGCUAACUACGUGCCAGCAGCCGCGGUAAAGUACUACUAU
rnacentral:rRNA from 1 species